UACAGAGGUCUCAAGCGUUGUUCGGAUUCAUUGGGCGUAAAGGGUGCGCAGGCGGGCUCAUAAGUCAGCAGUGAAAUCUCGGCGCUCAACGCCGAAACGUCUGUUGAUACUAUGAGCCUUGAAUGAGCGAGAGACGUGUGGAAUUCCGAGUGUAGCAGUGAAAUGUGUAGAUAUUCGGAAGAACACCAGCGGCGAAGGCAGCACGUUGGCGCUUUAUUGACGCUCAGGCACGAAAGCAUGGGGAUCAAACAGG
rnacentral:rRNA from 1 species